UCCCUGGUGGUCCAGUGGUUAAGACUCUGCACUUCCACUGCAGGGUCCGUGGGUUCGAUCCCUGGUCAGGGAA
rnacentral:tRNA from 1 species